ensembl:lncRNA DPY19L2P4 DPY19L2 pseudogene 4
ACAGUCGCCAUGACGACCGGUAGGUCCGCAACGGCUGCGGGGACAAGACCGUUGAGGCUGCCAGGCGAGUCAGGCCUUUCUGGACCUCGCCUGACUCGGCUGGGCUGUGCCUGAAAUUGACCCAGCUCUAUCAGGGAUUAUGAAAAAACAAGGAGUAAGCCCGAAGCCGCUGCAGUCUUCCCGCCCCAGCCAGUCUAAGCGGCGGUGCGGGCCUCCCCCUUCCCCCCCGCCUCCGCCCCGGAGCCGGAGGUAGAGGAGGUGGAAAAGUCGGCCCUAGGCGGCGGGAGGUCCUUCCGGCGGAGGAUCCGAAAUGUGGAAAAUCGAAAAGGCUUGGAGCUAAAGGUGGUGGCCAAGACCCUUCUUCUCGGCCCCUUCCUGUUGGUCCGUAAUUCCCUGGCGCAGCUCCGGGAAGAGGUGCACGAACUGCAGGCGUGGUGGUUCCCCAGCAGAACCACUUUGGACUUCGCAGUCCUUGUGGCUUAUCUCCAUUGGUUACAUUUAGUAAAACUUUGUGAAAAUUAUCGUCAUUUCUCUCACCUCUCAUCUUUGGAACGGGAGAUGACUUUUUGCACCAAAAUGGUUAGGUUUCUUCUUCUAACGAAUUAAUUUGUGGUUUAAGAAUAGCGAGACUAUGAGGUAGAGAUGUAUUAGGAAUUGAAAUGAACUUUUGGUGAACUGCACUGUUUCAUAAGCUAUAACCCAGGUUUAUUAUUUAAAUAGUAAAGUGUUUGAGAUUAUUUUUCUGUUACUUCAUUAUCUCUCACCCUUUCCUAAUGCAGACUUCUUUUUAAGAUAAUAAAGAUGAAUUAUAAUAGCUGAGGAAGGAGAAGAAUGCAAGCUCUGAAAUGACAUCCUUAAAUGCUGAUACUGGUUACAACCUCUUUACCUCUCUGAGGAAAUUGUAACAGUGUGUCUUUUAGGGUGUUUUUAUUUUACCAGCCCUUAAGAAAGAUCUCUAAUACGUUUUAAUGCUUUUUUUUAUAAUUUCAAGUUGAAGUGUUUUUAAAAACACCUUGUUUUGUAAUGUUUUGAAUCUCUUGAGAUGUAUUUACCCCACUAGAUACAUAUUUGCCACUGGUUAGUUCUCCAUCUAAGCUCAAGAGGUUAUUCAUCUCUCUUUAGAUUCCAGUGGUUUUUCUUUUAACUUCCAGGUAAAAUAGAAACUGCUAUGGUAUACAACCAAAUUUUGGGGUUAAACAUAAUCAGAAAAGAAAAUCCAGUUAAAUUUAUGAAGUGAGAUUUUCAGAUCCUAGAUCUUGAAUAUAGCAAAGGUCUUUUCAUCUUGAUGGCCCCAAAGCUUGUUGGUCAUAGUCUAUUUCUGGCCAUUAUCUUCUUAAAUAAUCUAUUUUUAAGCCCUCAUUUAUUUUUGGUUUUGGAUGAGGAAAGUCAUGUUUUCUAAGUCCUCUCCCCUAAUAAAACCUACCCAACAAUAGUGCUUUGAAAAGUGGUAGUUAUCUUGAAGAUACUCUUGCCAAAUGCAAAGAUAAACAUUCUUUUUGUCUGCUUUAUAAAUAUGAAAUAUGCCAGAUCUAUAGUAUUUUAAUGUGCAUCUACUUUAAAUGAGUCAUCUUGGGGUUUUUAUAAUUCCCUUACAUUCUUGCCCCUCUACACUUGAAAUAACAAAAUACCUUAAUUUUAUAGAUUAGUUCUCUUAUAGUAGACAGGCAGCUAUAUGCAGCAAAACCAAUAAAGUUAUUUUUCAACUUUCAUAGUUGUAAAAUAUUUUAUAGCAAUACAAAACAGCUAAGAAAACAUGCCACAUUUUAUUUUAGCAUUUUCAAAUAAUUUGUUUUUGGUGUAAGCACAGGAUAAAAAAGGAGAGCGUCAAAGAAAAGAGACAUAACACCUAACAUUCAUAAAAAUUAACAAAGUAUAUUUUGGAUGAUAUUUUUACAGGAAAUAUUUUAAAUAAGUUGGUAGAAUUUUUAAAAUGGUACUGUAUUAGCUAAUAAAAUAUUCAGUACAAAUAUAUGUUUGGAUUUAUGCAUUAAAAAACUAAUAAAAUUAUUUCCAACUUU